AUGGCGCAGUUUCCUGUCCUUCUGUCCCUCGUUUGCGCGCGCCACGUCUUUCUUCCUUUUUUUGGGGGGUUCUGCCUCCCUCUGUGUUUUGGAAUGCGAGAUCUGAUUCGGAGCUCUCGAGGUGUUCCUUCUGUACCGGAGGCUGCUGCUUCUCCUCUGUUCCUCCAUCCGAUGAACGGCGACGGCGGGAUCCAUUCGACAGCAACCUACCGCUUCGCCUGCGGAUUUGAGGCCGGCGGCGCGGCUGCUGCUUCUCCGGAUCACGGUCGAUCAGGGCAUCGUGGGCGCCGAGGGAGUGCUGCUGCCGGAUUCGAUGUCGCCGCCAUCUCUGUUGCCGCCGAUGGGGUCAUCUUCUGCAUUUGCUUGCUACUCAUAUUCAGAGGCUAG
rnacentral:rRNA from 1 species